UCACAGAAAGUUCAAGACCAUCUUACAUUAGUAUAAUGCAGAUGAAAGUUCCUAAUGCUUUGAAAAUUCUAAUCCCACAGCAGCAAUGUAUGAAUUUAAGCAUGCCAUUAAGAAAAAAAUUAACUUCAUUCAUUAAAUUCAUUCUUUCAUUCAAUCAUUACUAAUGUUUCCCAGGUCACAUCAGCCUAAAGGUAAAAUAGGUCGUGCAGCUGUCAAAAAUAACAAAAAUAUUUUUCCAGCUUCAGCCUGCCACUUAACAGAAAGCAUCAGCCCCACUUCAAGUUGUCUCAAAGGUAUUUUACCCAGGAGCUCUGAUGACUCACCCGGCGUAUCUUUGGUAACAGAAGAGGCAGCCUUUUUGCUGCAGACACAGUACAUGCGGCUUCCACUCAUGCCUUGGACAUCAACUCUUGUCCUUUUACUGACUUUGUUUUUCCUUAACACCUCCUUUCUUCCAGAACAAAGGCAAUCUUGCCUUCCAGAGGCAUAAUGUCUGGAGAUGUUAGUGUUUUUCAUGACUGCAGAAGGAGGAUGCUACUGGCAUCUAGAGGAUGGAGCUAGGGAUGCUACCAAAUACUCUGCAGUGCACAGAACAGCCCCUCACAACAAGAAAUAUCUGGGCCAAAAUGCCAAUAGUGCUGAGGCAGAAAGACCUGAGUCUCAGAAAGCUGGCCUACAGGACAAUCUGAGGAACAGUAGCUCUUCCAUUCUCAAAAAUCACCUCUGGUAUUUUUAAGCUAAACAUGCUCCUCCUCUUUGCCUCUCCUUAGGAUGAUAGGAUUCUUUCAACAUUAAAAGCAGACUUGCCUCCUCUUUAGAGAAUGUAAUGAUCAUCUGAGACACUGAACAAGAAACAGUCUCUCUGUCAUAGCUAUUGUUUUCUGUUACCACACUCUUUCCGGCCCAAUCCUCCUUCUGGUAACAGAUCCGGCUGCCUUGACCUCGAGGGGUGGGCCUAUAACUCAGGUGAGCCAAACAAUAGGCCUUCCCCAGGUUUUUCUUUUUCACUCAAGCUGAGGAAAGAGAAUCUCUUUUCUGGCCUCAUGACUAUAUAGUAAGAGGCUCUGGGGGGAAACAUCUUGAGAUAAUGAGGCUCUCCUACAGAGAGAAGCAGAAAGGAAGAAAGCAAGGAGAGAGGAGGAAGUGAGAGAAAAUACUGAAACUGCCACCAGGUGGAAGAAGUUAAUCAUAUGCUCCGCAUAAGCAUGUUGGAGUAGGAAAUGGCAACCUAAUCCAGUAUUCUUGCCCUGAAAACUCUGUGAGCAGAGGAGCCUGAAAGGCCACAGUCCAUGGGGUGGCAAAUGGUUGUGAUCUUGGAUGGCCUCAGCUUGCAGCGGCUUGGAUCGGGGCUUGGGUUCCCAGCCAGAGACUGGGCUGGGUUGCGUGGUGAAAGCACAAGAUCCUACCCACUAGACUGGGCCCUUCUGAAUUUUCAGAAAAGAAUUCCAACAAAGACAGUUUCCUUUGGCCAGUCAUUAUCAUUUGCCUUGAAGGAGGAAACAGAACAGGCUUAAUCUUGAAAGCAGGACUCCAUCUUGAGCCGGACUGUGGACUUUGAGCUAUAUGCCCAGUAUCUAUGGAAAUGACAUACCAACUGGAAAACCAGGCCCCCAGAAGGAAGAGCUCCAGGGCUCAUACCCAGACUCUCUGUAACUUAAAAGAAUACCCUAAUUCUCUGUGUAACCAAAUAGAAUCAUACAUUCUGCUGCUGCUGCUGCUAAGUCGCUUCAGUCGUGUCCGACUCUGUGCAACCCCAUAGAUGGCAGCCCAACAGGCUCCCCCAUCACUGGGACUCUCCAGGCAAGAAUACUGGAGUGGGUUGCCAUUUCCUUCUCCAAUGCAUGAAAGUGAAAAGUGAAAGUGAAGUCGCUCAGUCGUGUCCGACUCUUAGCGACCCCAUGGACUUCAGCCUACCAGCCUUCUUCAUCUAUGGGAUUUUCCAGGCAAGAGUACUGGAGUGGGGUGCCAUUGCCUUCUCCAAGAAUCAUACAUUCUAUUAUGCUUAUUGGGGUAUGACCACAGGCCUAUUGAUAAUUCUCUACUGUUAACCACUUAGGCUUAAGGCAUAUGAAUCACAGGUUAACUUUAAUGUAUCUUUUUUUUUUCCCUUUGUUCCCACUUGUUUCAGGGAAUCUGGGAAGGUGGGUUUGGGCACAUAUAUAAGGUUUUCACAAAAACUGGCUGGGGUCCUUGGCUAAGAGGAGACUCUGCCUUAGCCCUGCCAGUGUAAUAAACUGUACUUCACUAUCUGCAUCAUCCUUCUAAGUGAGUUUGUUUCCCGGAACACGUGGCUACAAAAGCCUGGUUCACAGUCCAUAUUUGGUAUAUCUCAGGAUCCUCCCAUGUGUGUACAUGAGUCUCUUAGCCAAGAUGGAUCUUACUGAAAAGGCAUGUGGGUAGGGAACACCCCUUUGCAUAACUCCCCUUUAGCCUUCCAGGAGCCUUUUCUGUGCAUGUGUGGCUGGGGAGGGCUCCUGGCUUCACGAACAAGAAAUGUGUGGUCUAGCCAGGGCCCAGCCUUCUCCCUUACUUGUCCUGCUAUUCUUGUCUUGGAGUUUCAGUCCACAGGGAAUGAAUCUCCAACUCCUUUACCCUGGGUGGGGGGGCUCCUAUCAGCCUUCUGCCUCACUUGGACAUGCCUGAGCACACUCAUAAGCAUGUAGACCCCAGACUGGCUGGAAACAGAAAGUUGAUGAUGCUGACUACCGAUUACCUCACCACCAACCAAUCAGAAGAAUGUCCACAAGAUGAUGGUGUUCUUCUCUUUACUGUAAAACUCCUCACUACCACCCUCCAGGUUGGGACACACAAUUUUGAGGGCGUAGGCCUGCUGUGGCCCCCACCUUUGCCUGGCAAAGCAAUAAAGCUAUUCUUUUCUACUUUACCGAAAACUCUGAGAUUCAACUCUGUAUGCUGGUGUACAGAAGCCAAAUUUCAGCUAGUGUAGCAUGAAAAGUGCCCCAGUG
ensembl:lncRNA